AUACAUGCAAGUCGAGGGGCAGCAUUUACUUCGGUAAAUGGCGACCGGCGCACGGGUGAGUAACGCGUAUGCAACCUACCUUUAACUGGGGCAUAGCUCGAGGAAACUCGAAUUAAUUCCCCAUAGUACAUUAUAAUAUCUCAUGAUAUAAAUGUUAAAGAUUUAUCGGUUAAAGAUGGGCAUGCGUCUGAUUAGUUUGUUGGUAAGGUAACGGCUUACCAAGACUACGAUCAGUAGGGGGUCUGAGAGGAUGAUCCCCCACACUGGUACUGAGACACGGACCAGACAUCUACGGAUGGCAGCAGUAAGGAAUAUUGGGCAAUGGGCGCAAGCCUGACCCAGCCAUGCCGCGUGCAGGAUGACGACCCUAUGGGUUGUAAACUGCUUUUAUAUAGGAAGAAAAUACUCUUGCGAGAGGAUCUGACGGUACUAUAUGAAUAAGGACCGGCUAACUCCGUGCCAGCAGCCGCGGUAAUACGGAGGGUUCAAGCGUUUUCCGGAUUUAUUGGGUUUAAAGAGUGCGUAGGUGGUUUAUUAAGUCAGUGGUGAAAUCCUGCAGCUCAACUGUAGAACUGCCAUUGAUACUGAUAAACUUGAGUUUGGUUUAGGUAAAUGGAAUUUAUGAUGUAGCGGUGAAAUGCAUAGAUAUCAUAAGGAACACCAAUAGCGAAGGCAGUUUACUGGACCAUAACUGACACUGAGGCACGAAAGCGUGGGUAGCGAACAGGAUUAGAUACCCUGGUAGUCCACGCCGUAAACGAUGCUCACUCGAUGUUAGCGAUAUACCGUUAGCGUCCAAGCUAAAGCGUUAAGUGAGCCACCUGGGGAGU
rnacentral:rRNA from 1 species